rnacentral:rRNA from 1 species
UUCGCAAUGCCCGAAAGGGUGACGAAGCGACGCCGCGUGUGGGAAGAAGGCCUUCGGGUUGUAAACCACUGUCGGGAGUUAGGAAAUGUAAGGGUGUUAAUAGCAUCCUUACUUGACUAAGGCUCCGGAGGAGGCCACGGCUAACUCUGUGCCAGCAGCCGCGGUAAUACAGAGGCGGCAAGCGUUGUUCGGAAUUAUUGGGCGUAAAGAGCACGUAGGCGGCCUUGUAAGUCAGUUGUGAAAGCCUUCUGCUUAACGGAAGAACAGCAGCUGAUACUGCAAGGCUAGAGUGCGGAAGGGGAGAGUGGAACUUCUGGUGGAGCGGUGAAAUGCGUAGAUAUCAGAAGGAACACCGGCGGCGAAGGCGACUCUCUGGUCCGUAACUGACGCUGAGUGUGCGAAAGCUAGGGGAGCAAACGGGAUUAGAUACCCCGGUAGUCCUAGCCGUAAACGAUGGGCACUAA